rnacentral:rRNA from 1 species
AUUGAACGCUGGCGGCAGGCCUAACACAUGCAAGUCGAGCGGUAGCAGGCCUUCGGGCGCUGACGAGCGGCGGACGGGUGAGGAACACGUAGGAAUUUGCCUGGUAGUGGGGGAUAGCCCAGAGAAAUUUGGAGUAAUACCGCAUAUGCCCUGAGGGGGAAAGUGGGGGACCGCAAGGCCUCACGCUAUUAGAGAAGCCUGCGUCGGAUUAGCUAGUUGGUAGGGUAAAGGCCUACCAAGGCGACGAUCCGUAGCUGGUCUGAGAGGAUGAUCAGCCACACUGGGACUGAGACACGGCCCAGACUCCUACGGGAGGCAGCAGUGGGGAAUAUUGGACAAUGGGCGAAAGCCUGAUCCAGCCAUGCCGCGUGUGUGAAGAAGG